rnacentral:rRNA from 1 species
AACGCGAAGAACCUUACCUACCCUUGACAUACAGUGAAUUUUGCAGAGAUGCGAAAGUGCUCGAAAGAGAAUACUGAUACAGGUGCUGCAUGGCUGUCGUCAGCUCGUGUCGUGAGAUGUUGGGUUAAGUCCCGUAACGAGCGCAACCCUUAUUCUUAGUUGCCAACGCGUAGAGGCGGGAACUCUAAGGAGACUGCCGGUGACAAACCGGAGGAAGGCGGGGACGACGUCAAGUCAUCAUGGCCCUUACGGGUAGGGCUACACACGUGCUACAAUGGCAAGUACAGAGGGCUGCGAAGCGGUGACGUGGAGCGAAUCCUUAAAAGCUUGUCGUAGUCCGGAUUGAAGUCUGCAACUCGACUUCAUGAAGUCGGAAUCGCUAGUAAUCGCAAAUCAGCAUGUUGCGGUGAAUACGUUCCCGGGCCUUGUACACACCGGCUAC